UUAUACGGCGAAACUGCGAAUGGCUCAUUAUAUAAGUUAUCGUUUAUUUGAUAGUACCUUACUACUUGGAUAACCGUGGUAAUUCUAGAGCUAAUACAUGCUGAAAAUCCCGACUUCGGAAGGGAUGUAUUUAUUAGAUUAAAAACCAAUGCCCUCUGGGCUCUCUGGUGAUUCAUGAUAACUGCUCGAAUCGCAUGGCCUUGUGCCGGCGAUGGUUCAUUCAAAUUUCUUCCCUAUCAACUUUCGAUGUUUCGGUAGUGUCCAAACAUGGUUACAACGGGUAACGGAGGGUUAGGGCUCGACCCCGGAGAAGGAGCCUGAGAAACGGCUACUACAUCCAAGGAAGGCAGCAGGCGCGCAAAUUACCCAAUCCCGAUUCGGGGAGGUAGUGACAAUAAAUACCGAUACAGGGCUCUUUUGGGUCUUGUAAUUGGAAUGAGUACAAUUUAAAUCCCUUAACGAGGAACAAUUGGAGGGCAAGUCUGGUGCCAGCAGCCGCGGUAAUUCCAGCUCCAAUAGCGUAUAUUAAAGUUGUUGUGGUUAAAAAGCUCGUAGUUGAACCUUGGGCCUGGCUGGCCGGUCCGCCUCACAGCGUGUACUGGUCCGGCCGGGUCUUUCCCUCUGUGGAACCCCAUGCCCUUCGCUGGGUGUGGCGGGGAAACAGGACGUUUACUUUGAAAAAAUUAGAGUGCUCCAGGCAGGCCUAUGCUCGAAUACAUUAGCAUGGAAUAAUGAAAUAGGACGUGCGGUUCUAUUUUGUUGGUUUCUAGGACCGCCGUAAUGAUUAAUAGGGACAGUCGGGGGCAUCAGUAUUCAAUUGUCAGAGGUGAAAUUCUUGGAUUUAUUGAAGACUAACUACUGCGAAAGCAUUUGCCAAGGAUGUUUUCAUUAAUCAGGAACGAAAGUUAGGGGAUCGAAGACGAUCAGAUACCGUCGUAGUCUUAACCAUAAACUAUGCCGACUAGGGAUCGGACGAUGUUAUUUAUUGACUCGUUCGGCACCUUACGAGAAAUCAAAGUGC
rnacentral:rRNA from 1 species